rnacentral:rRNA from 1 species
AAAAAAGAAAACGUGACAUGUCGAGCUAGAACGAGUAUAUCUAGACCUCUCUUGGGAACGAUAUCGGCGUCGAGCGGCGGACGGGUGAGUAAUGCCUAGGAAAAUUGCCCUGAUGUGGGGGAUAACCAUUGGAAACGAUGGCUAAUACCGCAUGAUGCCUACGGGCCAAAGAGGGGGACCUUCGGGCCUCUCGCGUCAGGAUAUGCCUAGGUGGGAUUAGCUAGUUGGUGAGGUAAGGGCUCACCAAGGCGACGAUCCCUAGCUGGUCUGAGAGGAUGAUCAGCCACACUGGAACUGAGACACGGUCCAGACUCCUACGGGAGGCAGCAGUGGGGAAUAUUGCACAAUGGGCGCAAGCCUGAUGCAGCCAUGCCGCGUGUGUGAAGAAGGCCUUCGGGUUGUAAAGCACUUUCAGUCGUGAGGAAGGUAGUGUAGUUAAUAGCUGCAUUAUUUGACGUUAGCGACAGAAGAAGCACCGGCUAACUCCGUGCCAGCAGCCGCGGUAAUACGGAGGGUGCGAGCGUUAAUCGGAAUUACUGGGCGUAAAGCGCAUGCAGGGUGGUUUGUUUAAGUCAGAUGUGAAAGCCGGGGGGCUCAACCCUCGGAAAUAGCAUUUUGAAACUGGGCAGACUAAAAUUACUGGUAAAAGGGGGGGUAGAAUUUUCAGGUGGUAGCGGUGAAAUGCGUAAGAGAUCCUGAAGGGAAUACCCGGUGGGCGAAGGGCGGCCCCCCUGGACAAAUACCGGCACUUCAAAUGCCAAAGCGGGGGGAGGCCAAAGGGAUUAAAUCCCCUGGGAACCCCCCCCCUAAACCAUUUCUCUUGGGAGGUUGGGCCUUUAGCCGGGGUUUUCGAGCUUACAGCUUAAAAAACCCCCUGGGGGGUCGGGCGGAAAUUAAAACUCUUAUAAUUGAAGGGGGGCCCCCCAGCGGGGGACCUGGUGUUUAUUUCA